rnacentral:rRNA from 1 species
GGCGACCCCAGGUCAGGCGAGACUACCCGCUGAGUUUAA